rnacentral:lncRNA from 1 species
ACCUUGUCCUGUUUAAGGACACUUUCACUUACAUUUAUUGAUCGUAACUUUGUCACUUUGCUACAUCUAGGUACAAGGAAGCUUAGAAAGCUGUCUUUAUUCCCAGUGGUAGCCAUGUGGCCAGUGAUUCCAUUCCUGUUUGAACUGUGAGGAGCAGCUGUCACUGUGGCCGCACCACCAGCUCCACAGGCUGUGAUGUGGCCCAAAGCCUGAGCCCGGCACCCUGGAGACUGGAGGAGCCAGGUACAGAGCAAGCACCCCUGCAGGACGGAGCAGGUGGGAGCGGGCAGCUCCGGCGGGGUGCAGGCCACGGCCCGCAGAGGGAGCCAGACGGACGCCCGCUUCCAGCCAGCAGGGGGCAGCACUGGGAGCUGGGAUGGGAGCUGCCGGGAAGACUGUGGUUGGCGCUGAUCCUGCUGGGGACCUGGCAGGGACGACAGACGCAGACGCCACCACGGGGACCACGGCAACAUUGUGUCACUGUGGGGGGAGCCACGUGGGCUACGGAAGCAGUAGUCUCUCCAGUGUCCGUGGGGACCGGACUAGAGGACGCGCAGGCUGUAACGGUUCUGGGCACGCACCCAACGCGGAGCUGCUGUGACUGUCACUGUCCUUGUUACUAUGUGGCAGCAGGGGUGGAGCCAGGACACCGCUCAGCAGAGCAGGGAAUUGGUGAACUGAGUGCCCACAUUCACAGCUAUUUGUAUAUUUCCAAAUCCUUUGAGUCAACCUGCAUUCUCUCCUUCAAUAAGAAACCUAAAGUUAAGAAACCAGCUCACAAACACCCCUUGUAGCCAUGCCCAGGGUGGGGAAAGAGGGGGGCCUCAGCUCUGCUUCUUGGAGAUGCCAAGGCUGCAGACCCCCUGCCGUUGCACCAGUCCCUCCAGGUACUCACAUCUGGCGC